rnacentral:rRNA from 1 species
UACGAAGGGGGCUAGCGUUGUUCGGAAUCACUGGGCGUAAAGGGCGCGUAGGCGGCUUGGCAAGUGGAUGGUGAAAUCCCUCGGCUUAACCGAGGAACUGCCAUCCAGACUGCUUUGCUUGAGGCCGGGAGAGGUGAGUGGAAUUCCCAGUGUAGCGGUGAAAUGCGUAGAUAUUGGGAGGAACACCAGUGGCGAAGGCGGCUCACUGGACCGGUUCUGACGCUGAUGCGCGAAAGCGUGGGGAGCAAACGGG